GAUGAACGCUGGCGGCGUGCCUAAUACAUGCAAGUCGAGCGAACGGACGAGAAGCUUGCUUCUCUGAUGUUAGCGGCGGACGGGUGAGUAACACGUGGAUAACCUACCUAUAAGACUGGUAUAACUUCGGGAAACCGGAGCUAAUACCGGAUAAUAUUUUGAACCGCAUGGUUCAAAAGUGAAAGACGGUCUUGCGGUCACUUAUAGAUGGAUCCGCGCUGCAUUAGCUAGUUGGUAAGGUAACGGCUUACCAAGGCAACGAUGCAUAGCCGACCUGAGAGGGGGAUAGGCCACCUGGGAACUGAGACACGGUCCAGACUACUGCGGGAGGCAGCAGUAGGGAAUCUUACGCAAUGGGCGAAAGCCUGACGGAGCAGCGCCGCGUGAGUGAUGAAGGUCUUCGGAUCGUAAAACUCUGUUAUUAGGGAAGAACAUAUGUGUAAGUAACUGUGCACAUCUUGACGGUACCUAAUCAGAAAGCCACGGCUAACUACGUG
rnacentral:rRNA from 1 species